CGCCAGCCAGCCCUCAUCUUCCCAUCAACAACCGACUCACCUGCAUUCCAGCGAUCAACGGCGCGACGAAGGACUUCAUCCGUGGGUUUGGCGGCAAGCAUCGGCUAGGCGUCUGCUAAGGUCGCGGGGUGCACUGGAGCCUACCUCAGCUGCAUUCGGGCGGAAGGCGGGGUACACCCUGGACAAGUCGCCACCUCAUUGCAGGGCCAACACAGAUAGACAGACAACAUUCACAUUCACACACUAGGGCCAAUUUUUAGUGUUGCCAAUCAACCUAUCCCCAGGUGCAUGUCUUUGGAGGUGGCAGGAAGCCGGAGUACCCGGAGGAAACCCACGCAGUCACGGGGAGAACAUGCAAACUCCACACAGAAAGAUCCCAAGCCCGGGAUUGAACUCAGGACCUUCUUAUUGUGAGGCACAUGCACUAACCCCUGUUCCCCCCGUGCUGCCCUGAAAAGUUCAUACACCUGCCGCCUCUCACUCUGCUGUGCGUUCUGCGAAGCGCACCUGGGGACACACCCACCUCCUCAACACACCUGACGCUGAUGAGAAUCCUGCAUUAAUGAACCAGCGCGUCCUGUGUUCCAGUGCCAGAACGUAGCUACUUGUACUUGUACACAGCCCUUCGUCAUCCCCUGGUUUCGAGCUGUGUGUCUCGUCUCCCUGGAUCCCCUCUGGACUCUUUGCUGCCUUCCUGGAUCUCGACCUCACGCCUGCCUUUGGACCACGACGCCUCGCUCCAUCCCCUGACCUCCUGCCUGUCCCUGGACCUCCGAGCCUGCCUUGCACUUUCUGGACUUCCGCACCGAUCUCAACACACACCAUCAACACCACUUGGUAACACUCCUC